rnacentral:sRNA from 1 species
CUCCGCGGCCUGCUGCGGGCAGAUGAAGUGGAUGUGCGUGUCGAUCCCGCCCGCCGUCACGAUCUUGCCCUCGCCCGCCACGACGUCCGUCGUGCUGCCGACCACCAUGGUGUCCCCCCCGGGCGUGAGCCCGUCCAUGAUGUCCGGGUUGCCGGCUUUGCCGAUGCCGACAAUGACGCCCGCCUUGACGCCGAUGUCGGCCUUGUAGAUGCCGGACCAGUCGAGGACGAGCGCGUUGGUGAUGACCAGAUCGAGGCAGGCGGCGUCGGCGCGCCCGGACGCCUGGCCCAUGCCCUCGCGCAG